rnacentral:rRNA from 1 species
GUACACAAAAAUGCACAUGCUGUGAGCUCGAUGAGUAGGGCGGGACACGUGGUAUCCUGUCUGAAUAUGGGGGGACCAUCCUCCAAGGCUAAAUACUCCUGACUGACCGAUAGUGAACCAGUACCGUGAGGGAAAGGCGAAAAGAACCCCGGCGAGGGGAGUGAAAAAGAACCUGAAACCGUGUACGUACAAGCAGUGGGAGCACGCUUAGGCGUGUGACUGCGUACCUUUUGUAUAAUGGGUCAGCGACUUAUAUUCUGUAGCAAGGUUAACCGAAUAGGGGAGCCGAAGGGAAACCGAGUCUUAACUGGGCGUUAAGUUGCAGGGUAUAGACCCGAAACCCGGUGAUCUAGCCAUGGGCAGGUUGAAGGUUGGGUAACACUAACUGGAGGACCGAACCGACUAAUGUUGAAAAAUUAGCGGAUGACUUGUGGCUGGGGGUGAAAGGCCAAUCAAACCGGGAGAUAGCUGGUUCUCCCCGAAAGCUAUUUAGGUAGCGCCUCGUGAAUUCAUCUCCGGGGGUAGAGCACUGUUUCGGCAAGGGGGUCAUCCCGACUUACCAACCCGAUGCAAACUGCGAAUACCGGAGAAUGUUAUCACGGGAGACACACGGCGGGUGCUAACGUCCGUCGUGAAGAGGGAAACAACCCAGACCGCCAGCUAAGGUCCCAAAGUCAUGGUUAAGUGGGAAACGAUGUGGGAAGGCCCAGACAGCCAGGAUGUUGGCUUAGAAGCAGCCAUCAUUUAAAGAAAGCGUAAUAGCUCACUGGUCGAGUCGGCCUGCGCGGAAGAUGUAACGGGGCUAAACCAUGCACCGAAGCUGCGGCAGCGACGCUGAUGCGUUGUUGGGUAGGGGAGCGUUCUGUAAGCCUGCGAAGGUGUGCUGUGAGGCAUGCUGGAGGUAUCAGAAGUGCGAAUGCUGACAUAAGUAACGAUAAAGCGGGUGAAAAGCCCGCUCGCCGGAAGACCAAGGGUUCCUGUCCAACGUUAAUCGGGGCAGGGUGAGUCGACCCCUAAGGCGAGGCCGAAAGGCGUAGUCGAUGGGAAACAGGUUAAUAUUCCUGUACUUGGUGUUACUGCGAAGGGGGGACGGAGAAGGCUAUGUUGGCCGGGCGACGGUUGUCCCGGUUUAAGCGUGUAGGCUGGUUUUCCAGGCAAAUCCGGAAAAUCAAGGCUGAGGCGUGAUGACGAGGCACUACGGUGCUGAAGCAACAAAUGCCCUGCUUCCAGGAAAAGCCUCUAAGCAUCAGGUAACAUCAAAUCGUACCCCAAACCGACACAGGUGGUCAGGUAGAGAAUACCAAGGCGCUUGAGAGAACUCGGGUGAAGGAACUAGGCAAAAUGGUGCCGUAACUUCGGGAGAAGGCACGCUGAUAUGUAGGUGAAGUCCCUUGCGGAUGGAGCUGAAAUCAGUCGAAGAUACCAGCUGGCUGCAACUGUUUAUUAAAAACACAGCACUGUGCAAACACGAAAGUGGACGUAUACGGUGUGACGCCUGCCCGGUGCCGGAAGGUUAAUUGAUGGGGUCAGCGCAAGCGAAGCUCUUGAUCGAAGCCCCGGUAAACGGCGGCCGUAACUAUAACGGUCCUAAGGUAGCGAAAUUCCUUGUCGGGUAAGUUCCGACCUGCACGAAUGGCGUAAUGAUGGCCAGGCUGUCUCCACCCGAGACUCAGUGAAAUUGAACUCGCUGUGAAGAUGCAGUGUACCCGCGGCAAGACGGAAAGACCCCG